rnacentral:misc_RNA from 1 species
AAAGUCGUAACAAGGUCUCCGUUGGUGAACCAGCGGAGGGAUCAUUACUGAGUUUACAACUCCCAACCCUUCUGUGAACCUACCCACCGUUGCUUCGGCGGAACGCCCCGGCUCUCCGAGCCCGGAACCAGGCGCCCGCCGGAGACCCCUAACCCUUCUGUAUUUUGAGCAUCAGCACCUACGUCUGAGUGGCAAAAGCAAAACAAAUCAAUUAAAACUUUUAACAACGGAUCUCUUGGCUCUG